GGUUAAGCGACUAAGCGUACACGGUGGAUGCCCUGGCAGUCAGAGGCGAUGAAGGACGUGCUAAUCUGCGAUAAGCGUCGGUAAGGUGAUAUGAACCGUUAUAACCGGCGAUUUCCGAAUGGGGAAACCCAGUGUGUUUCGACACACUAUCAUUAACUGAAUCCAUAGGUUAAUGAGGCGAACCGGGGGAACUGAAACAUCUAAGUACCCCGAGGAAAAGAAAUCAACCGAGAUUCCCCCAGUAGCGGCGAGCGAACGGGGAGGAGCCCAGAGUCUGAAUCAGUGUGUGUGUUAGUGGAAGCGUCUGGAAAGGCGCGCGAUACAGGGUGACAGCCCCGUACACAAAAAUGCACAUAUUGUGAGCUCGAUGAGUAGGGCGGGACACGUGGUAUCCUGUCUGAAUAUGGGGGGACCAUCCUCCAAGGCUAAAUACUCCUGACUGACCGAUAGUGAACCAGUACCGUGAGGGAAAGGCGAAAAGAACCCCGGCGAGGGGAGUGAAAAAGAACCUGAAACCGUGUACGUACAAGCAGUGGGAGCACGCUUAGGCGUGUGACUGCGUACCUUUUGUAUAAUGGGUCAGCGACUUAUAUUCUGUAGCAAGGUUAACCGAAUAGGGGAGCCGAAGGGAAACCGAGUCUUAACUGGGCGUUAAGUUGCAGGGUAUAGACCCGAAACCCGGUGAUCUAGCCAUGGGCAGGUUGAAGGUUGGGUAACACUAACUGGAGGACCGAACCGACUAAUGUUGAAAAAUUAGCGGAUGACUUGUGGCUGGGGGUGAAAGGCCAAUCAAACCGGGAGAUAGCUGGUUCUCCCCGAAAGCUAUUUAGGUAGCGCCUCGUGAAUUCAUCUCCGGGGGUAGAGCACUGUUUCGGCAAGGGGGUCAUCCCGACUUACCAACCCGAUGCAAACUGCGAAUACCGGAGAAUGUUAUCACGGGAGACACACGGCGGGUGCUAACGUCCGUCGUGAAGAGGGAAACAACCCAGACCGCCAGCUAAGGUCCCAAAGUCAUGGUUAAGUGGGAAACGAUGUGGGAAGGCCCAGACAGCCAGGAUGUUGGCUUAGAAGCAGCCAUCAUUUAAAGAAAGCGUAAUAGCUCACUGGUCGAGUCGGCCUGCGCGGAAGAUGUAACGGGGCUAAACCAUGCACCGAAGCUGCGGCAGCGACGCUUAUGCGUUGUUGGGUAGGGGAGCGUUCUGUAAGCCUGUGAAGGUGUGCUGUGAGGCAUGCUGGAGGUAUCAGAAGUGCGAAUGCUGACAUAAGUAACGAUAAAGCGGGUGAAAAGCCCGCUCGCCGGAAGACCAAGGGUUCCUGUCCAACGUUAAUCGGGGCAGGGUGAGUCGACCCCUAAGGCGAGGCCGAAAGGCGUAGUCGAUGGGAAACAGGUUAAUAUUCCUGUACUUGGUGUUACUGCGAAGGGGGGACGGAGAAGGCUAUGUUGGCCGGGCGACGGUUGUCCCGGUUUAAGCGUGUAGGCUGGUUUUCCAGGCAAAUCCGGAAAAUCAAGGCUGAGGCGUGAUGACGAGGCACUACGGUGCUGAAGCAACAAAUGCCCUGCUUCCAGGAAAAGCCUCUAAGCAUCAGGUAACAUCAAAUCGUACCCCAAACCGACACAGGUGGUCAGGUAGAGAAUACCAAGGCGCUUGAGAGAACUCGGGUGAAGGAACUAGGCAAAAUGGUGCCGUAACUUCGGGAGAAGGCACGCUGAUAUGUAGGUGAAGUCCCUUGCGGAUGGAGCUGAAAUCAGUCGAAGAUACCAGCUGGCUGCAACUGUUUAUUAAAAACACAGCACUGUGCAAACACGAAAGUGGACGUAUACGGUGUGACGCCUGCCCGGUGCCGGAAGGUUAAUUGAUGGGGUCAGCGCAAGCGAAGCUCUUGAUCGAAGCCCCGGUAAACGGCGGCCGUAACUAUAACGGUCCUAAGGUAGCGAAAUUCCUUGUCGGGUAAGUUCCGACCUGCACGAAUGGCGUAAUGAUGGCCAGGCUGUCUCCACCCGAGACUCAGUGAAAUUGAACUCGCUGUGAAGAUGCAGUGUACCCGCGGCAAGACGGAAAGACCCCGUGAACCUUUACUAUAGCUUGACACUGAACAUUGAGCCUUGAUGUGUAGGAUAGGUGGGAGGCUUUGAAGUGUGGACGCCAGUCUGCAUGGAGCCGACCUUGAAAUACCACCCUUUAAUGUUUGAUGUUCUAACGUGGACCCGUGAUCCGGGUUGCGGACAGUGUCUGGUGGGUAGUUUGACUGGGGCGGUCUCCUCCUAAAGAGUAACGGAGGAGCACGAAGGUUGGCUAAUCCUGGUCGGACAUCAGGAGGUUAGUGCAAUGGCAUAAGCCAGCUUGACUGCGAGCGUGACGGCGCGAGCAGGUGCGAAAGCAGGUCAUAGUGAUCCGGUGGUUCUGAAUGGAAGGGCCAUCGCUCAACGGAUAAAAGGUACUCCGGGGAUAACAGGCUGAUACCGCCCAAGAGUUCAUAUCGACGGCGGUGUUUGGCACCUCGAUGUCGGCUCAUCACAUCCUGGGGCUGAAGUAGGUCCCAAGGGUAUGGCUGUUCGCCAUUUAAAGUGGUACGCGAGCUGGGUUUAGAACGUCGUGAGACAGUUCGGUCCCUAUCUGCCGUGGGCGCUGGAGAACUGAGGGGGGCUGCUCCUAGUACGAGAGGACCGGAGUGGACGCAUCACUGGUGUUCGGGUUGUCAUGCCAAUGGCACUGCCCGGUAGCUAAAUGCGGAAGAGAUAAGUGCUGAAAGCAUCUAAGCACGAAACUUGCCCCGAGAUGAGUUCUCCCUGACCCUUUAAGGGUCCUGAAGGAACGUUGAAGACGACGACGUUGAUAGGCCGGGUGUGUAAGCGCAGCGAUGCGUUGAGCUAACCGGUACUAAUGAACCGUGAGGCUUAACCUU
rnacentral:rRNA from 1 species